rnacentral:rRNA from 1 species
AUUGAACGCUGGCGGCAGGCCUAACACAUGCAAGUCGAGCGGAUGAAGGGAGCUUGCUCCUGGAUUCAGCGGCGGACGGGUGAGUAAUGCCUAGGAAUCUGCCUGGUAGUGGGGGAUAACGUCCGGAAACGGGCGCUAAUACCGCAUACGUCCUGAGGGAGAAAGUGGGGGAUCUUCGGACCUCACGCUAUCAGAUGAGCCUAGGUCGGAUUAGCUAGUUGGUGGGGUGAAGGCCUACCAAGGCGACGAUCCGUAACUGGUCUGAGAGGAUGAUCAGUCACACUGGAACUGAGACACGGUCCAGACUCCUACGGGAGGCAGCAGUGGGGAAUAUUGGACAAUGGGCGAAAGCCUGAUCCAGCCAUGCCGCGUGUGUGAAAAAGGUCUUCGGAUUGUAAAGCACUUUAAGUUGGGAGGAAGGGCAGUAAGUUAAUACCUUGCUGUUUUGACGUUACCAACAGAAUAAGCACCGGCUAACUUCGUG